rnacentral:rRNA from 1 species
GAAUGGAUGUCCCGUUUUUUCAAACAGGUUAAAAGACAAAAGCUAAUUAAAGUUUUUAGCGGUUUAUCCGCAUAAAGAUCUGAUAGGAUACUGAUAAUGACAAUAUUCUAUAUAAGUCUUGGCCAAAUCACGUGCCAGCAGCCGCGGUAAUACGGGAAAGACGAGUGUUAUUCAUCUUUAAUAGGUUUAAAGGGUACCUAGACAGUGUAUUUUGCUUUUAUUGGUACAUUUAUGCUAGAGUUUUAUGUGAGAGGAGUUUAGUACUAACGGAGUAGAGAUGAAAUUUUUUGAUACUGUUGGGCACUGAUAACGGCGAAGGCAGACCUUUAUGUAAAAACUGACGUUGAGGGACGAAGGCUUGGGUAGCAAACAGGAUUAGGUACCCUAAUAGUCCAGGCAGAAAAUGAUGAGUGUCAUAGAUUAGAGUAAUUUUGGUCUAUAAAUGAAAGUGUAAGCAUUCCACCUCAAGAGUACUGUGGCAACGCUGGAACUGAAAUCAUUAGACCGUGCUUGAAACCAGUAGUGAAGUAUGUUAUUUAAUUCGAUAACCCGCGAAAAACCUUACCACGAAUUGUAUAUAUUUAGCAAAAUAAAACAAAAUCGUUUUAGUUGGAAUCUUUUUAAUAAGAAUGUUAUUUUUACAAGUGCUGCAUGGCUGUCUUAAGUUAAUGUCGUGAGAUGCAGGUUAGCUCCAUUAAAUUAACGUAAACCCUCAUCACACUUUAGGUG